CUGCUGGGCAGGGUUAAUGGCAGCCCUGCUUCUGUUGGACCUUACUCUCAUAUUGUUCUGUGUCAGAAUCUGGUGUAACUGGAAGAAGAAAUGGAGCACCUCUGGACAGGAGUUUAAAGACGGUGGCUGCACCUCACUCCCAGACAGUUUGAGCUGCUCCUCUGGCCGUCAUAAGGGCCUGGACAGCCCUCUCACCUGUUCUGUGAAGGGAACCCAAGAACAGCCAUCUACAAGGAAACCUCCUACUACCCUGUAGAUCCCACUGCCACCUGCUCUCCCCAUGGGUCUCCCCAAGAUGACUUCAUCCCUUUUUUGAUCUCCCUGCAUCCCAUCCCAGCCAAUUCUCAAGUUCUUCUGGAGACCCCAGGCCCAGCUGAGCACACUCCAGUCCCUCCUGAGACCAACACAUCCCUUCCUCUGCCCCUCAGCUCCCUGGCCUUGCCCUCUAAACAACACUGGAGUUAAGCCCUGCUGCCCCGCCAGGGUAGGCGAUGGCCCCUUCUUCUCUUGCACUACAGAGAUGGAGCUGUCACCCCAGUGUCUGGAGGUAGCAGCAGCAAAGCCCACCCGGCAGCAGCACUGGCUGAGCUCCGUGCCCAGGGGCAGCUGGGAAUGGCCAUGGUGUGGGCAGGCAGGAGCCAGGCAGGGGCUGCUGUGCCCAGCGGCGGGGCCCCGAGGGGAUGGGGGAGCCCGGGGGCAGGCAGCAGCAUGGGGCUCCUGAGAACAAGUGACACUAUUUUUCUUUGUUUUUCAUUUUUAGAAAUUUGACUUUUGAAAAAAUAUUUUAAAAUUUAUUUACUGUAGAGAGACAUCCCUAAAUAUUUAUUCCCGAGUAGUGUAGUAGUUAAGGACUUUACAAAAUAGUAUUAAAAUCCUGAAAAGGCAAACCUAUUUUUUCUUCACUUUUAAUUUUUAGAAAUAUUUAGAAAUAUUUUUUGUAGAGACAUAUCACCAAAAUAUUCAUCCCUUUUUCCAGAAUACAUUUGUAUUUUUAAAGUAGUUUUACAGUUCUGGAAAGUUUUUUACACUUAUACAAUAAAAAAUAAAAUGGCA